rnacentral:rRNA from 1 species
CCCUCGGGAAACUGAGGUUAAUAUCUGAUAGGAGAUUUAUACUGGAAAGAUUAAUCUUUAAAAUUCGAGCCUAAGGAUGGGGCUGCGGUGGAUUAGGUUGUUGGCGGGGUAAUAGCCCACCAAGCCUUUGAUCCAUAGGGGCUCUUAGCGGAGAAGCCCCGAGAGGGAAUCUGAGACACUAUUCCCAGCCCUACGGGGUGCAGCAGUUAGGAAUAUUCUGCAAUGCGCGUAAGCGUGACAGAUUGAGUCAGAGUGCGCUUCAAUUUGGAGUGCUUUUGCUAAAUGUAAAAAGUUUGGCGAAUAAGGACUGGGUAAGACGAGUGCCAGCCGCCGCGGUAAUACUCGCGGUCCAAGUCGCAGCCAUUUUUAUUGGGUCUAAAACAUCCGUAGCUUGCUUGGUGAGUUCCUUGUGAAAUUCUAUAUCUCAAAUAUGGAGCGUGCAGGGAGUACUGCCAAGCUAGAGACUGGAAGACGUAACGAGUACGUUUGGAGUAGCGGUAAAAUGUGUUAAUCCCGGACGGACUAACAAUAGCGAAGGCACGUUACGAGGACAGUUCUGACAGUAAGGGAUGAAGGCUAGGGGCGCAAAACGGAUUAGAUACCCGUGUAGUCCUAGCAGUAAACACUGCACACUAAACAUUAGUACCUCCUCGAGAGGUAUUGGUGCUGAAGCGAAGGCAAAGAGUGUGCUACCUGGGAAGUAUAGUCGCAAGGCCGAAACUUAAAGGAAU